UGCGCAGUCGACUCUUUUUCCCUUUACUGCACAGUAUAGUAAAUACUGGCUCAAGGGGUUCAACUGAUUGACCAUGACAGACUCUAGUGGAUUCGGUCCGGCUGGGAACGGGACCAAAUACCCAGCGCUCUGUCUGGGAUCGUUAGAAUGCCGAUUACAAACAAUCUGCAAAGCGCCAAGCUGAGUAAUUUACUUUAACUGCACCUCACUAGACGUAUCUGUGUCAUAAAUGAAAAUUAGGGGCUGAAGCCAGUUGGAUAUGUGUGUAUCAGUGUAUGCGUUGCCUUCACGGCUGCACCCAUUACAGCAUGUUAUCGAAGUAACGCACAAUAAUAAUAUUCGGAUUGUUAUGCACAGUCUCCAUUUAUUUCCAGCAUAAACUCGCCCUCUGAAUUUUCGGAAGGGCUUAUACUAGAAUAAUGCUGCUGAGCCCAAAGGAACGGCGAAUUUUGUUUGAGCAUUUCCUUAGUUAAACCAUUCGUCAACGUUCUUACCAAAUGCAGCACUUGACAAAAGCAGAAUUCCCGUCCACGUUUCUUUAUUUCAUUGCUCAAAUGCUGAUACUGUAGUUCAUCCAGCUGUGGACAGCCUGUCUCGAUCACUGUCCACCACUGCUCGACUUUCAUACGCCGAUCGCAUCCCAGUCGACAAAAAGGAAUCCGGACUGUGAUGUUCAACCACCCAUCCAUAUUUGAACACUGGAAUUCACAAAUGAAAUUCGUUACAGUGAUCUCCAGGCAACUCGUGGCCAGCGAGUCAAAGAUCUUGUAAAGCACCGUAAUGAAAUCCUCAUCCAGAUUAAGAGGAUAAAAGCACCGAAAAUCUUUUAAAAUGAACUUUGCGGGAAGGUGUUCAGUCCCUCCUUUAAUAACUUUUCCCAAAAAAAUCUCAUCAAAAAAAGGCCAGUCCUUUAGCGCCACUAGUUGUUGGGAAUUUUUGCAGACUGCAUGGACAAUAACGGCCACUAUGCGCUGUGCACCGGCAUCAGUGACAUCAAAACUGCCCAUGGAAUACGAGCGGACGUCAGAGGUGGCUCGAAAAAAGCCACGAUUGGACGCCACAUGAAUUUUGAGCCGGCGGCGGACUCUGCUGGCCAUCGAUGUGAACAUCUCGUUCCAUGCCAAACACACCGCCCGCACCCGGCACUGACUGGCGGUAAACAAACACUCGAAUAUUUCCGCCAGGAUAAUGUCUGGAAGGCAUCGUAACGGGCAAUCUUCGUUGUCGGCCGGCACAAAAGCUUCACCCAACGACAGGAGCACGGAAUUACGCUGUAAAAUACAAUGAAUCAACCAAUUAAGAACCUAGCGAAGUAUCUGUAGUCCUUGGCUGAAGGACACCCUUUGAACCGGGCGUCUGAUGCAGUCCAGGGGAACGACGUGCAUCCUUCCAUCCGACAAGCGGACGCAGCCGAGUUUUUGCCGUUGGCGGUGGAUGUCAUGGCCAGCUAUAGUGGCCGGUUGCCACUUCCAUGGCUCAUUACUGCUUUCCCGGAGUAACACUUCCACCGUCUCGUUGAUCCCUGCAACUCCAUGCAAGAAAAACAAAUUUUCUAGCUAAUUUAAGCUAAAAUCACUAAAAUUUGCCGUCUACAGAAUGUAGCAAUUUUGCAACAGUCUGUUCCUGUACCGUGUACUUGCUGGAAAGUGGUACGGCGCCUAUUUUGUGUUCAACUGAUCAUGCUUAUCACACU